GAUGAACGCUGGCGGCGUGCCUAACGACAUGCAAGUCGAGCGAGAAGUUUGAAAAAUGAGUUUUCGAACAAGUGAUUCAAACGGAAAGCGGCGGACGGGUGAGUAACGCGUAGGCAACCUGCCCCGUGCAGAGGGACAGCCUCGGGAAACCGGGAUUAAGACCUCAUGAUAUCGGGUUAUCACAUGGUAAUCCGGUCAAAGAUUUAUCGGCAUGGGAUGGGCCUGCGUCUGAUUAGCUGGUUGGUGGGUAACGGCCUACCAAGGCGACGAUCAGUAGCAGAACUGAGAGGUUCAUCUGCCACAUUGGAACUGAGACACGGUCCAAACUCCUACGGGAGGCAGCAGUGAGGAAUAUUGCACAAUGGGCGAAAGCCUGAUGCAGCAACGCCGCGUGAGCGAAGAAGGCCUUUGGGUCGUAAAGCUCUGUUCCUUGGGGAAGAAACAAAUGACGGUACCCUUGGAGGAAGCCCCGGCUAACUACGUG
rnacentral:rRNA from 1 species